AGUUAUUUCUCUCCUCUCAUUUCUGUGAACAGAAACGAAAUGGGAAAGGAGAAGAAGGGGAGGAAAAAGAGAAAGAACGGAGAAAGAAGAAGAAGAAGAGAGGAAGAAGAGGUGCAGCAGCCUUCUUGCUGUUGUACACUGCUUCAGCUGCUGCUGUUCAGCCAUGGCUGUUGUAGAUAUGGAUGCCUGCAAGUGCCAUGUGCUACUCACAACAAGAAGAAGCUGCAUUGGUCUUGAUCCAAAUGAAGACUUGAGUCAAGGACUGCUGAUCAACUGCAUGCAUGUACCAAGAAGAUGUAAUUGAAGGAAUCUUAUAACUACAUUUGCUGAGGAUAUGCGAGGCUAGGACAUUGGUGAAGGAUUUCAUAUAUGAAAUCUCAGGUUUUAAAGCUGGAGCAAAGAAGAUCAGAAGAUCAGAAGAUCAGAAUAUUGGUUGUAGAUGAAGUCAUGGACAAGGAGUGAUUAUAAAAAAGGACUUUGAUACUUUUGUGUUUUAUAUUGUAAAUUAAGUGUAAGUGGUAUUAUGAAUUUUGUUGUAACCUGUGGAUGUAAUAAAUGGGCCUGUAAUAUUAUGAAGUUAUCAUUGUAGUUGAGCACCACAUGUAUAUCAUGAUCCUUAUGGAAUUUUACAUAUCUGAUUUUACAA